GGGGCUGAUUCUGGAUUCGACGGGAUUUGCGAAACCCAAGGUGCAUGCCGAGGGGCGGUUGGCCUCGUAAAAAGCCGCAAAAAAAUAGUCGCAAACGACGAAACCUACGCUUUAGCAGCUUAAUAACCUGCUUAGAGCCCUCUCUCCCUAGCCUCCGCUCUUAGGACGGGGAUCAAGAGAGGUCAAAGCCAAAAGAGAUCGCGCGGAUGCCCUGCCUGGGGUUGAAGCGUUAAAACGAAUCAGGCUAGUCUGGUAGUGGCGUGUCCGUCCGCAGGUGCCAGGCGAAUGUAAAGACUGACUAAGCAUGUAGUACCGAGGAUGUAGGAAUUUCGGACGCGGGUUCAACUCCCGCCAGCUCCACCA
rnacentral:tmRNA from 1 species